rnacentral:rRNA from 1 species
CAUGAAAAACCGUACCGCAAACCGACACAGGUAGGCAGGGUGAGAAUCCCAAGGCGCUUGAGAGAACUCGGGUGAAGGAACUAGGCAAAAUGGCACCGUAACUUCGGGAGAAGGUGCGCCCUUUGGUGUGGUCACGUGCGUGACUGAGCAUUGAAGGGUCGCAGUAACCUGGCCGCUGCGACUGUUUAUCAAAAUCACAGCACUCUGCAAACACGAAAGUGGACGUAUAGGGUGUGACGCCUGCCCGGUGCUGGAAGGUUAAUUGAUGGGGUCAGCCGCAAGGCGAAGCUCUUGAUCGAAGCCCCAGUAAACGGCGGCCGUAACAAUAACGGUCCUAAGGUAGCGAAAUUCCUUGUCGGGUAAGUUCCGACCUGCACGAAUGGCGUAACGACAGCGGCGCUGUCUCCACCCGAGACUCAGUGAAAUUGAAAUCGCUGUGAAGAUGCAGCGUUCCCGCGGCAAGACGGAAAGACCCCGUGAACCUUUACUAUAGCUUUACACUGAACGUUGAGUUCUUCUGUGUAGGAUAGGUGGGAGGCUAUGAAACCAGGACGCUAGUUCUGGUGGAGCCAUCCUUGAAAUACCACCCUGAAGUGCUUGACGUUCUAACCUAGGCCCGUAAUCCGGGUCAGGGACCGUGUAUGGUGGGUAGUUUGACUGGGGCGGUCUCCUCCCAAAGAGUAACGGAGGAGCACGAAGGUACGCUCAGCGCGGUCGGACAUCGCGCACUGUGUGCAAAGGCAUAAGCGUGCUUGACUGCGAGAUCGACGGAUCAAGCAGGUACGAAAGUAGGUCUUAGUGAUCCGGUGGUUCUGUAUGGAAGGGCCAUCGCUCAACGGAUAAAAGGUACUCCGGGGAUAACAGGCUGAUACCGCCCAAGAGUUCAUAUCGACGGCGGUGUUUGGCACCUCGAUGUCGGCUCAUCACAUCCUGGGGCUGUAGCCGGUCCCAAGGGUAUGGCUGUUCGCCAUUUAAAGUGGUACGCGAGCUGGGUUCAGAACGUCGUGAGACAGUUCGGUCCCUAUCUGUCGUGGGCGUUGGAGAUUUGAGGGGGGCUGCUCCUAGUACGAGAGGACCGGAGUGGACGUUCCGCUGGUGUUCGGGUUGUCAUGCCCAUGGCAUUGCCCGGUAGCUACGAACGGAAGUGAUAACCGCUGAAAGCAUCUAAGCGGGAAGCACGCCCCAAGAUGAGAUCUCCCGAGAGCUUGACUCUCCUAAAGGCACCAUCAAGACUAGGUGGUUGAUAGGUCAGGUGUGGAAGCGCAGCAAUGCGUUGAGCUAACUGAUACUAAUGAGCCGUGAGGCUUGACC